AGCGAACGCUGGCGGCAGGCCUAACACAUGCAAGUCGAACGAAGCCUUCGGGCUUAGUGGCGGACGGGUGAGUAACACGUGGGAACGUACCUUUUGGUUCGGAACAACUCAGGGAAACUUGAGCUAAUACCGGAUGAGCCCUUAGGGGGAAAGAUUUAUCGCCGAAAGAGCGGCCCGCGUUAGAUUAGCUAGUUGGUGAGGUAAAGGCUCACCAAGGCAACGAUCUAUAGCUGGUCUGAGGGGAUGAUCAGCCACACUGGGACUGAGACACGGCCCAGACUCCUGCGGGAGGCAGCAGUGGGGAAUCUUGCGCAAUGGGCGAAAGCCUGACGCAGCCAUGCCGCGUGAAUGAUGAAGGUCUUAGGAUUGUAAAAUUCUUUUACCAGGGACGAUAAUGACGGUACCUGGAGAAAAAGCCCCGGCUAACUUCGUGCCAGCCGCCGCCGUAAAAC
rnacentral:rRNA from 1 species